GAAACAUUGACUGGCUGGGUUUGGCUUCGUUUUCGUUUUUUCUGCAGAUGCGUCUGCCUGAAAGGGAGGCUGCCGGCGCUUCUCGGACCAACUUGGUGCAACUUAAAUAAUUCAGGAUUGUUUCUGGGGAGAAAACCCAACACAAAUUCAGAGAAAGGGGAAAUUAGGAUGCCAAUAUACGACACAAGGGAAACCUCCAGGCAACAAAUGCCCCGGACUUACUGGAGCCCGAGGCAAAAGGGACAUUGUGAGCCUCUGUUUACCUGCCCUUAUUAUAUUUUUAACGGAUAAGUUUUCCUACAACAGUAGUUGAAGAAAUUAAAAGUUGUAGUUAUAAAAGAAGUGCUGAAAGUCACAACAUUAUCUGAGGUCCAUAAAUAAUAAAGAAAGUGAAAAAAGUGGAAGCAGAAUUGGAAUAAGUACAGAAAAUGAAAAUCCUGGCCUCACUAUUCAAGAAUCUGACAU